GGCAUUGGCUCCCUACUGUGUUUCCCUUGGAGUUCGGCAGUGGGGGCAGGCUGCCUGGAUUCAGAUUGGAGCUCCAUUGCUUUCUGGCUGUGGCUCAAUUAGCCACCCUGAGCCUCAGUUUCCCCGCCCGUCAAGAGAGGAGAAUUAUAAAAACCUAUGUCAUGAGACCGUUGUGAAGGAGUCGCUGUGUGAAGAACUGUGGAAGGUCACACGUGCAAAGUGGGUGCAAUAAUCCCUAGACUUUCGCCUCAGCCACAGGGGCCCCUCACUGCACCCCAGACACACCCAGUGUGUGCCCAUUUCUGGAACUUCCCACUGGCUGUUGUUCUCUUUAUUUUAUUUGUAUUUAUUUUUUCCCCAAAAUGUUAGUUUGUUUCUUUAAUUCAAGUAUCUUAUUAAACUUUUUUGGCAUUCCAGUUUUUAAUUUUAAGAAAUAAUAUUCUUUUUGAACUUUUGGCUUUUUAAAAAAAUAAAACUUUAAAUUUUAGAGUAUUUUUAGAUUUAU
rnacentral:lncRNA from 1 species